AAACAAAAAAAUAUUUUUACUUAAAUUAAUUUGUUAUGCUUAUUCAAUUAAAACCCUACUGAAGCAUGAUAGAUUGAUACUCCCGCAAAAACCCACAAAAUUAAGCAGCUGUCCACGCACGCAGAGUCGCCGCUACACAUCUACACCACCGCUCUGUUGCACCGGCCGCCUUCCGACUGCUUCCCAACCUUCGGUGGGUGCCGGCUUCCAAAUUCUGAGGUCUACUAAGGCCUUGAUGUCAAGUCCGCAAAGUCCUCACCUAGUGAUAUAAAAGUGCCUUUGAUUUGGUUUUUUCAGAAGAAUUAGUUGUUGGUUGAAUUCAGAUACUGAAGUUCCUCUAGUUGUGGGAACAGUUAAGUGAAAUCACUCCACCACUAGAUCUUCAACUUUUAUUUCAACUGUAAGCUUUUCAAAAGUACAAUAUAUGCAAUGAGACAUGGUAAAAAGUGAGGUUUGCAUUGCUUUCAUCCCACAGCCUAGGUUUUACCAUUAAACACUCAGUGUGCAGUUUUCUAAGUAUACUUGUGGUUUCACUCAUUAUAGUGUUAAGAGAUAACAACUAACUAUCAUUAAAGUUAACACAAAACAUAUCACAAGUUCUACUUCGCAUCCUUGAGGCUCAAAUUUCAGCUCCUAUAUUGUGAUGCUAUUGAAGUGUAUACCAGCCAUAUCUCGAACUUCCAUGUUACAGAUAACCACUUGAUUCCAUUCACCCACAUACAUCACAUGAGUAUUACAUGCCACGUGGAAUUAUUUUAAAAUUUAUUAGCGAAGAAAUAAAGGGGAAAAUUCUUGCAAGGGGUCCUUAUGUUAUCUAUAUAGCUAAAAUGAUCGUGGUUGUUGUUAAAGACAAAAUACUUUUAAUUGCUGAUGGGAUGCUAAGAGUUGAGUUUUUGUGUUUUUUCUGUUGCAUAUGUUUGCUUUCAUUGAAUGAUUUAAGGUGUUGCAACCUGUAAUUGAUGAUAUUGGAGGAUGGAGAUUUUUUUUCUUCAUGUUUUAUUACCACUUAUUCUAUUGUGGCUCUGGAAAAUGGGUGAGAUUUUGCUGGUUUUGGUGACUUUGUUAGUAACACGUGUACUCUUGUUGUUUUACUUUAGGUACAUGAUUUUGGAUUCUUCUGAUAUGACGUACAAUAGAUCCGAUUUUUGAGCUACGAAAAGAUACCUCUUACCCCCGAGGCAAAAUUUGUUGGGCUUGAAAUCAGGGUUUCGGCAAUGAUAGCGGAGAAAAGUUAGCUCUCACUGUUUCCCGCUUUUGUAAUAGCAAUGGCGAGCAAUUUCCUGAAUGGGAUAUUCUUCUAAGAGUUGGCUGCCAGUUCAACUUAAUACUGACCCAAUGCUAGCUGCUCAAGAACCCUUGGCAAGUUGGCAUGCUUGGUGAACACGAAGCAACUAAUACACGAGAGCUCGCCCCUUCUCCUGUGAGUGAGCAAACUAGCAGCCGGUGGAAGGGCCCGCUAACUACUCCAUACAAGCUGAACACAGACGCUGCUACAUCGGUGAGAAUGACAGGGUUGGGUAUGGUGGUCCGAGACAAAGUAGGUGACGUGCUAAUGGCUGCAGGCAUGAGGAUUGAUGCUGCUCUACCAGCUCUUCAAGCUGAAGCUGAAGCAGUACGGUUUUGGCAUGAGUAUGCUUAUGAAGCAGGCUACAGCUCCCUUGAGGUUGAAACUGAUUCCCUUGCGUUACUAAAGCUACUGCAGAGGACGGUUAUCUAAUUCUGAAAUUCUAAUUGUAAUAUAUAGAGGAUGGUUUUAGAAUUAGAAUUAGAGCUGAUUUGGCCAUUAUUUGUAAUAUAUACAGAAUUAGAAUUUGUAAUAUAUAUAUAUUUUUUUUAUAAAAAAAAGAUGGAAUAGAGGACGGUUAUCUAAGAAAAUCGUCCUCUAUCUUUACG